rnacentral:rRNA from 1 species
UAAUACAUGCAAGUCGAGCGAAGAGAUGGGAGCUUGCUCCCUGAUCUUAGCGGCGGACGGGUGAGUAACACGUGGGCAACCUGCCCUGCAGACUGGGAUAACUCCGGGAAACCGGAGCUAAUACCGGGUAAUACAUCGCACCGCAUGGUGCAAUGUUGAAAGUUGGCUUUCGAGCUAACACUGCAGGAUGGGCCCGCGGCGCAUUAGCUAGUUGGUAAGGUAAUGGCUUACCAAGGCGACGAUGCGUAGCCGACCUGAGAGGGUGAUCGGCCACACUGGGACUGAGACACGGCCCAGACUCCUACGGGAGGCAGCAGUAGGGAAUCUUCCGCAAUGGACGAAAGUCUGACGGAGCAACGCCGCGUGAGUGACGAAGGCCUUCGGGUCGUAAAGCUCUGUUGUUAGGGAAGAACAAGUACCGUUCGAAUAGGGCGGUACCUUGACGGUACCUAACCAGAAAGCCACGGCUAACUACGUGCCAGCAGCCGCGGUAAUAC